rnacentral:rRNA from 1 species
CCUGCCUCGUACAGGGGGACAACAGUUGGAAACGACUGCUAAUACCGCAUAAGCGCACGAUACUGCAUGGUAUUGUGUGAAAAACUGAGGUGGUACGAGAUGGACCCGCGUCUGAUUAGCUGGUUGGUGGGGUAACGGCCUACCAAGGCGACGAUCAGUAGCCGACCUGAGAGGGCGACCGGCCACAUUGGGACUGAGACACGGCCCAAACUCCUACGGGAGGCAGCAGUGGGAAAUAUUGCACAAUGGGGGAAACCCUGAUGCAGCGACCCCGCGUGAAGGAAGAAGUAUUUCGGUAUGUAAACUUCUAUCAGCAGGGAAGAAAAUGACGGUACCUGAGUAAGAAGCCCCGGCUAACUACGUGCCAGCAGCCGCGGUAAUACGUAGGGGGCAAGCGUUAUCCGGAUUUACUGGGUGUAAAGGGAGCGUACACGGUAAUGUAAGUCUGAUGUGAAAGCCCGGGGCUCAACCCCGGGACUGCAUUGGAAACUAUGUAACUAGAGUACCGGAGAGGUAAGCGGAAUUCCUAGUGUAGCGGUGAAAUGCGUAUAUAUUAGGAGGAACACCAGUGGCGAAGGCGGCUUACUGGACGGAAACUGACGUUGAGGCUCGAAAGCGUGGGGAGCAAA